rnacentral:tRNA from 1 species
CACUAGAUAGCUAAAUCAGGGCACAGCGUUAGCCUUUUAAGCUAAAGACAGGUGGCUCCCAACCACCUCUAGUGA